rnacentral:lncRNA from 1 species
GCUGAAUGUGCCCAAGGAUUCUGGGAACCUUUGCAUUUGGGCUGGGAGAAAAACAGCAAGGAUUUGCACAGAUCGCAACAGAUAGGCAGGGAGGCGUCUUUCACUAACACACUGUAACAAGCCCUUUUAAACAUCUGAUGUAGCUGGGGAGUGAUGAGAUGACAACUAGCAUGGGCACGAGGGAAAUUCUUCUUCUGGAUACACAUUUGGAUUGAUUUUGCUGUCAAGAUCUAAGUCAGGAGAGCAUUCCCAACUCUACCCUUCAAGACUGGGUCUGCAGAG